CCUUAGAGUUUGAUCCUGGCUCAGGAUGAACGCUAGCUACAGGCUUAACACAUGCAAGUCGAGGGGAAACGACAUCGAAAGCUUGCUUUUGAUGGGCGUCGACCGGCGCACGGGUGAGUAACGCGUAUCCAACCUGCCCAUCACUUGGGGAUAACCUUGCGAAAGUAAGACUAAUACCCAAUGAUAUCUCUAGAAGACAUCUGAAGGAGAUUAAAGAUUCAUCGGUGAUGGAUGGGGAUGCGUCUGAUUAGCUUGCUGGCGGGGUAACGGCCCACCAAGGCGACGAUCAGUAGGGGUUCUGAGAGGAAGGUCCCCCACAUUGGAACUGAGACACGGUCCAAACUCCUACGGGAGGCAGCAGUGAGGAAUAUUGGUCAAUGGGCGAGAGCCUGAACCAGCCAAGUAGGGUGCAGGAUGACGGCCCUAUGGGUUGUAAACUGCUUUUAUAAGGGAAUAAAGUGAGCCUCGUGAGGCUUUUUGUAUGUACCCUAUGAAUAAGCAUCGGCUAACUCCGUGCCAGCAGCCGCGGUAAUACGGAGGAUGCGAGCGUUAUCCGGAUUUAUUGGGUUUAAAGGGUGCGUAGGUUGUUUUUUAAGUCAGCGGUGAAAGUUUGUGGCUUAACCAUAAAAUUGCCGUUGAAACUGGGGAACUUGAGUGUGUUUGAGAUAGGCGGAAUGCGUGGUGUAGCGGUGAAAUGCAUAGAUAUCACGCAGAACUCCAAUUGCGAAGGCAGCUUACUAAACCAUAACUGACACUGAAGCACGAAAGCGUGGGGAUCAAACAGGAUUAGAUACCCUGGUAGUCCACGCAGUAAACGAUGAUUACUAGGAGUUUGCGAUAGACAGUAAGCUCUACAGCGAAAGCGUUAAGUAAUCCACCUGGGGAGUACGCCGGCAACGGUGAAACUCAAAGGAACUGACGGGGGCCCGCACAAGCGGAGGAACAUGUGGUUUAAUUCGAUGAUACGCGAGGAACCUUACCCGGGUUUGAACGUAGUUUGACAGGGGUGGAAACACUUUUUCUAGCAAUAGCAAAUUACGAGGUGCUGCAUGGUUGUCGUCAGCUCGUGCCGUGAGGUGUCGGCUUAAGUGCCAUAACGAGCGCAACCCUUAUCACUAGUUACUAACAGGUAUAGCUGAGGACUCUGGUGAGACUGCCAGCGUAAGCUGUGAGGAAGGUGGGGAUGACGUCAAAUCAGCACGGCCCUUACAUCCGGGGCGACACACGUGUUACAAUGGCAUGGACAAAGGGCAGCUACCUGGCGACAGGAUGCUAAUCUCCAAACCAUGUCUCAGUUCGGAUCGGAGUCUGCAACUCGACUCCGUGAAGCUGGAUUCGCUAGUAAUCGCGCAUCAGCCAUGGCGCGGUGAAUACGUUCCCGGGCCUUGCACACACCGCCCGUCAAG
rnacentral:rRNA from 1 species